rnacentral:ncRNA from 1 species
AGGAAGUACUUUUUAUGUGUUGACGACUUUGACGUUGGAUGUUUAAAAUUGACUAGCAAACAAGUUUACUUGUUACAUCGAAAGAAAGAAAAAAACAACAUAACAAGCACAUACAUGGAUGUUAAGCGCGAGUCAUCAGCUCGCGUUGACUACGUCCCUGCUCUUUGUACACACCGUCCGUCGCUCCUACCGAUUGAAUGGUCCGGUGAAGUGUUCGGAUCGCGGCGACGGGGGCGGUUCGCCGCCCCCGACGUCGCGAAAAGUCCAUUGAAUCUUAUCAUUUAGAGGAAGAAGAAGUGGUAACAAGGUUUCCGUAGGUGAACCUGCAGAAU